GAUGAACGCUGGCGGCGUGCCUAAUACAUGCAAGUCGAGCGAACAGAUAAGGAGCUUGCUCCUUUGACGUUAGCGGCGGACGGGUGAGUAACACGUGGGUAACCUACCUAUAAGACUGGGAUAACUUCGGGAAGCCGGAGCUAAUACCGGAUAACAUUUGGAACCGCAUGGUUCUAAAGUGAAAGAUGGUUUUGCUAUCACUUAUAGAUGGACCCGCGCCGUAUUAGCUAGUUGGUAAGGUAACGGCUUACCAAGGCAACGAUACGUAGCCGACCUGAGAGGGUGAUCGGCCACACUGGAACUGAGACACGGUCCAGACUCCUACGGGAGGCAGCAGUAGGGAAUCUUCCGCAAUGGGCGAAAGCCUGACGGAGCAACGCCGCGUGAGUGAUGAAGGGUUUCGGCUCGUAAAACUCUGUUAUUAGGGAAGAACAAACGUGUAAGUAACUGUGCACGUCUUGACGGUACCUAAUCAGAAAGCCACGGCUAACUACGUG
rnacentral:rRNA from 1 species